AGCGGGGAUGGAGCAACAGUGGCUCGCCAGGUUCAUACCCUGGAAAUCGGCAAGCGCAAUUCUUGCCCCCGUCACCA
rnacentral:tRNA from 1 species